GAGUUGUAAUUUGUAGAGGAUGUUUCGGGUACCGCCUCGGUUUAAAUUUCUUGGAACAGAAUGUCAAAGAGGGUGAGAAUCCCGUCUUGGACCGGCGGUAGGGCCCAUGUGAAACUCCUUCGAC
rnacentral:rRNA from 1 species